UACAGAGGUCUCAAGCGUUGUUCGGAAUUACUGGGCGUAAAGGGCGCGUAGGCGACUGCUCAAGUCGGGUGUGAAAGCCCGGGGCUCAACCCCGGAACGGCACCCGAGACUGGGCGGCUCGAGACCGGGAGAGGUGGGUGGAAUACCCAGUGUAGAGGUGAAAUUCGUAGAUAUUGGGUGGAACACCGGUGGCGAAAGCGGCUCACUGGCCCGGUUCUGACGCUGAGGUGCGAAAGCGUGGGGAG
rnacentral:rRNA from 1 species